rnacentral:lncRNA from 1 species
AACACUGCAUUUUCCUGAAAUACCAAUUCUCCAAUUUUCUUCGGAGACAGUGUGAACAGAUGGAUGAUUUUAUAAUUAAUGCACAACAGGACAUUGUUAGUAUGGUGGUACUGAGGAUACACCUUCAAAUAAAGGUACCAUUCCCUAUGCCGUUUCCACAUUACAGUCAUUUCUCAACAGCUGUGAUAAAACAUGGUGUCACACUCAACGAAUGGUCCUCAGGUCUCCAAGGACUUGUGAACAGACAGGGAAGACAUACAUUUCUAUGGCGGAGGAGAACUGCAAGAAGCAUUGUCUUUUCAUCACACAAAAGGGCUACCAUUUGA